GUGCUUAUGGGUGCCUGGCCCUGGGCUGAGUGCUUGAUGUGCAAGGGCCUUAGAAGAGGUUCAAUUCAACUCAGACUUCAUAAGAAAGCCAAAACCUGGUUUUAUGAUUGCAGUCCUCAGCCUGGGCUGCCUGAAGACGAAGAUAAAGAGCAAGGUUAUUGCUGGCUCAGGUCACAUUAGCCAGACUUCUGUGCUCUGUACGCAUUCAAUUUCCUCCCCUCCAAACAUCAUCCCUGGGAACUGCUGAGUUCAGAUAGAAUAUGUGUUGGUAGUUUGCAAUUGGGUUAUUAUCCAUUUGUUCGUAAAAAUUAACCUUUUGUAUUA
rnacentral:sRNA from 1 species